UACGGGGGGGGGCAAGCGUUGUUCGGAAUUACUGGGCGUAAAGGGCUCGUAGGCGGCCAACUAAGUCAGACGUGAAAUCCCUCGGCUUAACCGGGGAACUGCGUCUGAUACUGGUUGGCUUGAGUGUGGGAGAGGGAUGCGGAAUUCCAGGUGUAGCGGUGAAAUGCGUAGAUAUCUGGAGGAACACCGGUGGCGAAGGCGGCAUCCUGGACCAUUACUGACGCUGAGGAGCGAAAGCCAGGGG
rnacentral:rRNA from 1 species